CUUAUAGAGGUCGGACACGUACGCGGUUUCAUAGCUAACCUUAGAGAUCAUCAGAUCAUCAAUCAUAGAGAUCGUCUACCUGUGCACGAUGAUGAGAUCACCUCUUAUCUCUUAUGCAUGUUGGUUUUUAUUAUUUAAUAUGCUAUUUUUCUCAUUUGAAUCUAAGUCUCAUAUGCUGGAUCGGAUUAAAAAAUUUUUGAAUUUCGCUGCAUCUGAUCCAAACUGAUUCGGUGCGCUAUCCGAUCCUUUAAGAACAUCCCAGCACCUUGUCGAACCGAGCAAAGUUGAUGCAGCCACUCAGACAGAAGAGGUUGUCGGUAUGAAGAAAAGUCACUCUAAAUUUAGGUGCCUUGAUGAUGUCUCAAGGCAAUGAUGUACUUAUUUAUUUAUUUUUGUUUUUGUAAUCUGGACUAUGUAGCCAUUUUGAUGCAAAUGAAUAAAAUUUAUUUUUGGUUCAUUUUGUGCCAUUACCAUUCACAGUGCUUGAAUGAAUGUGUAAAUCAUAUUCCAAGCCAUAUUAGCUAAAUUUCGAGCUAAACUAAGAGUUUAACUAUAAUUAGGAUUAUAAGGUAUGAUUUGAGCCAUGAUUCAAGCAAAACAAAAUUUGAACUAUAAUUUGAGCUAUAAUCUGAGCCAUAUAAUUUGUACCUGUUGCACAGGUUCGGCAAGAAAUUGGAAUUCAAACCGUAUCUACAUGGCAAGUACCGCUACACAUCCGCAUAUAUCUCUUCAAAAGUGGUGCAGAGCAUGAUUUGCCUGUCACUCGCAUUAACUGCAAUAUUGGUGGUAGGUGCUGUACUCGAUUGGUGACUGCCACAUGUCAAGUAUGUGUUAAAAUCUCAUCGGCCACAUCUCCUGUCAUUAAUGCUCUGAGAAAGAGGAUCGCCAUGAGAUCUUUUAAGGUAGGGACUAUUUAAACCCCGGAUGAAACAGGCUUCUGGGGUUUUCGAUUGUUUUUUUCCUUCCUUUGCUCCCCCUUUCUUUCACUGUAGGUUCUUCUUCCUCUUUUGCAUUCAUAGUUUUCUUUUUUUUCUUGCAAAAGGGGGAUGGCUUCUAAGGACUCUGAUUUUGCCCCACUGAAAUUCCAAUCUGAGAUGAUGGAGAGGGAUGUCAUACUGCUUCAUGAGCAGUUUCAAAUCCCUCCGAUAUUUCAACUGGAGAUUUCGGGGCCAAACGAUUGGAUUUGUCAACCUCCCCCAGGCCGGAUGAGCCUCUAUGAGGAGAGCUUCUGAGCUGGCCUGAGGUUUCUUCUCCAUCUUUUUUUUAUUGAUCUUUUUCAAUACCUUGAGAUGUCGCCAUACUCGAUAGUCUCGAAUUUAUGGUGGCAUAUUUACGAUUUUACCGCAGUAUGCAUAUUGGCUAUGAUUGAUCCCAGCAUCAUCCUUUUUUGUUCUUUCUUCAAUCUCAAGAGAUAUCUUGGAGCACGAGGGUGGUGGCAUGUAUCUCCUCAAAAGAGGAAAGAGAUUCGCCCGUUGAUCCAGGAUGCUCCUUCUGCUGUCCAUAGCUGGAAGGAGCACUUCAUAUUCAUCUCCAAGACGUCCGACGAAGAUUGGAGAUUUAUCGCUUGGUGUGAACCCCAGGAAGCUGCACUGAAGGAGCCUGCAUUGGAUGAGUGCCUAAGGCUGGAUCAUCAAAUCAUCAAUCGCGAAGAUCGUCUACCUGCGCACGAUGAUGAGAUCACCUUUUAUCUCUUAUGCAUGUUGAUUUUUAUUAUUUAAUAUGCUAUUUCUCUCAUUUGAAUCUAAGUCUCGUAUGCUGGAUCGGAUUAAAAAAUUUUUGAAUUUCACUACAUCUGAUCCAAACCGAUUCGAUGCGCUAUUCGAUCCUUUAAGAACAUCCUAGCACCUUGUCGAACCGAGCAAAGUUGAUGCAGCCAC
rnacentral:lncRNA from 1 species